AAUAAUUUCACAAAUUUCAAAAUCUUUGUAUAAUCAAUUUCAUCUUCAAUUUGAACCGACAAAGCGAGCUUAUGUCUUAAAUGCUAAUAUUUUCCUUUUUAUUCUUGAGAGAAAUGCUAAAUACAUGCUUACAAGCUUAUUAAAUAAUUACAAAAAAAUAAGACACAGAAAAGUCAAGGAAAUUGUACCAUUAAUUGUUGUAAUUAAUAAUGCGUAUUCUAAGGGACAGUUGGAUGAGAUAAAGAAAUUUGUAAAAAAGGGACUGAAAAAUUCAAUCAUUUCAAUUACCGAUGUUGAACAGAAGAUAGAAACACGCAGUUCGGAGAUCGAAAAACACAUAAAUUAUUUUCGAUCUUUAUUCAACAAUUGAAUAACUAAAUCUUGAAGACAUUAACUGUUCA